UGGAGAAAAUCUGGCCGGGCGCAGUGGCGCGCGCCUGUAGUCCCAGCUACUCCGGAGGCUGAGGCUGGAGGAUCGCUUGAGCCCAGAAGUUCUGGGCUGUAGGGCGCUAUGCCGAUCUGGUGUCCGCACUAAGUUCGGCAUCAGUAUGGUGACCUCCCGGGAGCGGGGGACCACCAGGUUGCCUAAGGAGGGGUGAACCGGCCCAGGUCGGAAACGGAGCAGGUCAAAGACU